rnacentral:rRNA from 1 species
UACGUAGGGUGCGAGCGUUAAUCGGAAUUACUGGGCGUAAAGCGUGCGCAGGCGGUGAUGUAAGACAGAUGUGAAAUCCCCGGGCUCAACCUGGGAACUGCAUUUGUGACUGCAUCGCUGGAGUGCGGCAGAGGGGGAUGGAAUUCCGCGUGUAGCAGUGAAAUGCGUAGAUAUGCGGAGGAACACCGAUGGCGAAGGCAAUCCCCUGGGCUGAGAUUGACGGCUCAGGCACGAAAGCGUGGGGAGCAAACAGG